CUAAAUGAAAUUGGCUUUGUUCUUUUCUGACUUCAUGUUUUGCUUGUCCCUGGCCAGGCCAGCUGGUAGGUGUCUGGAGACAUGGUAAAAUCAGAGCACAGCAAAUCCAUCUAGCCCUGGGUAGGGGGUGGGGCAGGGAGGAGGAAGGAGCAUUCCCCUGAAAGAUGACCCAAGUGCCUUUCACAGGAGUCAGCCCACCUCUCUCAGGAUGGUGGAGGCAAGAGCUUGCUGACAAGUUGAAGCAGAAGCAAGCUGUGAUCCCUGUGAUGGCACGUCCUGGCUCAUCUAAUCAGUAGACUUUGGUGUGAGGCCAGAGGCCUGCUACACCCUCCCUUUCUGACCCCUGCAUUUGCUGACUCCUACUGGAGCCUGCUUGACACGGAUGGAUCUGGGGACCUCUGUGUUCAGCCCAUAGCUGGUUUCCUGCAGAGCUGGGUCAGAAGGCUUGACCGUCUCCUUCCUUCCUCCUAGGCUCUCUCAUCCAUCUGCUGACCUGGGCUUCCUGACUCUCUGUCCAGUGCUCUUACUCCCACUAUUCCAUGGUUGCAUUAUUCAGAGAAGCAGCUUGUGCCUUCACUGUAAUCUUCAUCCAGGAGGACCAGGAAGGAGCAGAGCAGCACUGACAUCUGCCCGUCCCUGGAGUGGGGCCAAGUGACUUAUAAAAGGCACAGACAUGACCUAAAGCCUGAUCACCCUGCUGGGGGCCCUCCUUGUGAAGACCACAUCUUAGGGGACAGCCAGCCAUUUGUAAGUGCAUCCCUCAGAGCCAAACUGAUAUCCAAAUUUUGAUAAUAGACAAAAGUUAUAUGACUCCAAUUCUAGAGGGUCAACUUCUUUGUGACUCAGUUUUCUCAUGUGUAAAAUGGGAGUACGCUUAUAGGGGUGUUGAGAGAAGGAAAUGAAUUAACAUCUGGGCCUGGUUUAUGAUUGAUAUUAGCUGUUAUUACGAUGUCUUAAUACCAAGUCUUCCUACCAAGUAUGGGGACACACACACCCUACUGAUCAGUUAUUCUCUGUGACACCCCAACCUCCACCCAGCAGGGGAUUUGUUUGUUCCCAUCAACUCCGAAGCUGAAGAGCAGCAUCUGCUUUGCAUUGUGUGCACCAACGGUUUAGGGAGUGAAGGUGUCUCAUCACCCAGUCCCCAAAAGGAGCCUCUUACUGCUUGCCAUAAGCCCUGUGUGUUGUCAUGCAACCAAAGGGUCCGUUCUGUGUUCAGAUGUCUGGUGUGGCCCCUGCCGGCUUUGUCUCCUUGCCCAUCACCUCUCCUAACACAAGUACCUGCCUCCAUUUCCUCUGGUGCUUGGCCAUCCCUGUUAGUCUGCAUCCACUGAAUAUUGUGCAGACAGCGGUUCUUCUGAACUGUUCACUAGGAGUUCCUUAAACAAAUCACCAAGAGUGUGCCUUCAGAAGCUCCUCCAUCCUGGGUCAGUACCCUUCGGCUGCAUCCCAUCACUAUAUUCUUGUGAUGUCUUUCUUCCCUCCCCAUGUCAAAAAUUACUCUCAGGAAAGAUCUGCAAACUCAUUCAUUCUGAUGGGUAAGUGACUAUUAGGUCCUCGUCUUACUGAGGGUUAGAAGACUUCCAGGUAGCCCUCCUUAAUGGUGUGGACUAAUGGCCUCUUCAUAUAUCCAACAGCGUUCCCUGAGGCUGUGCUGCCUUGGAUGCUGCUGUGAGUAUCACUAUUGCCAUUGUUACUGGUAACCAUUUACAAGCAUCUGCUAUGCACCAGGUAAGAUAUUUGGCAUCGUAGAGUGUAAGUGGUCAAAAGCACAUGCUUUACUGAUUCUGAACCUCAUUUAUUAUGCCAAAAGUUCCAGAGGGAGCAAAGAUUUAAAUGCAAUGGAGCUUGUGCCAAGACUUAUGGACAAGGAUACACUUUAGAGCCCCAAUAUAAUGGCAAAAGAUGGGAAACCACUGAAUGCCCAUUGACAGGGGUUGAUUAAAUAAGUUAUAGCAUAUCCAUUUAUAGAAUACUCUGCAUUUGUUAAAAAGAAUGAGGCUACAUCUGUAGCCAUUGAUAAUGAAACAAUCUCCAAGAUAUAAGUAAAGUGAAAACAAAGCAAGGUGUAGAAGAAUAUCUAGCAUAUGCUACUGUGUGAAAGCAAACAGAAGAGUAUAUGUAUAGACUAAAUUUAGACUAAUUUUAGAAAGAAAAAGGGAGUUGACAACAGUGAUUGCUUUUGGGAGAAGUGUUGAUGAUCUGGGUAGUAGGGACACUUACUUUUUAUCUUUCAAGGGAGUUAGGUUCUUUUUAUUCUUUACCAUAUGCAGGUAUUAUUUUUGAAUUUAAAAAGUUUAAAAAAUAAAUGCUGUGGAGUCAGACUUGGAUGUAAGUCCAACUGCUUAUCAUUUCUAGCCAUGUGGCCUUGACUAAGUUACUUACCCUCUUCUAGCCCUGGUCUUCUAGCUGCUGGAUGAGGAGACUGUAGCUUGUGGUGAGGAUUAAGUGAGAUAGCACCUGUGAAGUUCUCAGCACAGUGCCUGGCCCAAAAGCAAACCAUAAAUUGUUAGAUGCUUGCUCUGAGCUGUUUAUGUCCCUCCAAAAUUCAUAUGUUGAUGUCCUAAUCCCCAGUGUGAUGGUAGUUGGAAGUGGGGGGUCUUUGGAAGGUAAAUAGGUUUAGAUGAGUUUGUGAGGGUGGAGCGUGCAUGAUGGGUAACCCUUAUAAGGGGAUGAAGGGACCACAGCUCUCUUUACCUUGUGAAGACACAACAAGGAGGCAACUGUCUAUUCACCAGGAAGAGGGAUCUCACCAAGAACCCAAGACUGCCAGCCUCUAAAAGUGUGAGAAAUAAAUGUUUGUUGUUUAAACCACCCAAUUGUUAUAAUAGCCCAAACUGACUAAGACAGUGCUUUAUGUAAGUAUCUCUAAUUAGCAUUCUGGAUGUAGUACUAUUCAGUUAAGCUAUGUUCUGUGCAUUAGGUACCCAGCAAAAUCUGGUGAUGCACAAGCGAUGGGAGAGUCAGACAGUGGACAACCAACUGCAACAAUUCCAGGGGGAAGGAUCGAUGCAGGGAGCUGAUUAAACUAGACAUCUCUGGCAGGAAGAAGAACUGGAAGGACUCACAGGCUCCGGUGGCCACCCUACAACCAGAAGACAGACAUCUAACAAUGUAUUGUCAGAUGAUGGAUUAGCCAGGCCUGGGGAAGAGAGCUGAGUGUGCAGCCUCCUUCCCUGUCUCCUGGGUGACAAAGCCGCUGGAUGACCCCGCCAACAAUAACGAGAUGAAAAUGAAGAACACUGCAGUAUAAUGAGCAUGAUAAAAAUAGAGAUGUUGCUAAAUAAUGGGUCGGCCAUGGCUGAGGAGCAGGAGAAAGAGCCAAGCCCAAAGGAAUUAGAUAAGGCCUUCCUGUGUGGUCUCCAAGCUUGACCCCCUGAUGUGUUACUGUUGCUCAACCAGGCCAUCGAUGGUUUUGAGUCCCUCAUGUGGCAAAGAUGUCAGAGCGGGAUUGGAGGGUGGGCCUAAGUGAAAAUCCCCAGCAGGCUCUAUCCUGGUCACUGUGGCUCUGACCUCCACCGGGGGAGGGACAAAGGUGUGGUCAGCACACAUGCUGAUGGUGGUUACGAAUUACUGCCUUUAGUAGGAACCUCUUGCCUGCCAAUGAGUAUCAGCAAAUAGUCUGAGUUAAUGCACCGAAGUUUUUCAGAACAUUGCACCUCUCAUCUACAUAGUGCAGAGUGGAAGAAGCUUGUUAAUUAUGCUUUUGUUUGUAUUUUUGUUUAGUUGGUAGCUUGGAGUAUCUGCCAGGAAAGGCAGGCGCCCCUCGGGAGGGAGGUACCCUGGUGCUACAGGGACGGCUGCCUGUGAAGCCUUCUGGCACCAACUCCCUCUGAGGUCAGGAAUCCAGGACUGGCUCAGCUGGGUGGUUCUAGCUCAGGGUCUCCUGUGAAGUUGCAGUCAAGAAGAUGGCCAGGGCUGCGGUCACCUGAAGACUUGAUGGGUUGGAGGAGCUACUUCCAAGAGAGUCACUCACAUGGCUGUGCCUCAGUUUCUCUCUGUCUGUUAUCAAGAGCCCUCAGUUUCUCACCAAGUAGGCUUCUCCACAGGCUGCUCAAGACACAGCAACUUACUCUCUUCAAGAGAGCAAGAAAGAAGCCAUGAUGUCUUUUAUGCCUUAGCCUUGGAAGUGACAUGCCAUCACACCUGCCAUAUGCUAUUGGUUGCACAGAUUAACCAUGGUACAAUGUGGGGAGAACAAGGGUGUGAAUACCAAGAGACAGGUACCACUAACCAUCUUGGAGCUAGCCACCACACCUAUUGAUGUCAUCCUGCAUGUCCUCUCAGUUGUCAAUAUAAACUAUGUUUAAUGGACUCGUGCUCCACAGAGUUGUAUUCCAUGGGAGAGAAUCCCUCUGUGGUCUUAAGUGUGGCACUUUGUACAGAGCUCCUGUGACAUAAGUAACUCCAUCUCCAAAAAAGACUCCACCUUACAUUUCAAAAGGCACCUUGCCAAAAGAGAACAGAUAUUUUGCCUGAUCAAUAAGGACUACAUCUAACCAGAUAAGGACAUAACUAAGCACACUCUUCCACUAUCAGUUCUCACCAGAGGACUCUGGGGUGGCCAUUAAAAGAGCAGGACCUCACCUGCUCAAAAAGGCCACCUUAGAGACACCGUCUUGCUGUCACUCGUGAUAUGCAUUUGGCAUCUGGCAUCUGCCACCCAAAGCUCUGCCGCAUCAAAGACUUUUCCUUGCAAGACCAACAGCUACUGCAGGCCAGACCAGAAGAUUAUUUUGUCUACUUUGGUCGCCCUGGACUGAUUCAUUAAUGUUUUUUUCUAUCCCUUCUCUCUUGAUGAUAAACGUUACUUUGUUUGUUGUGGAAUGUUUAAUUUAUAACAUUUACAUAUUGAUCAAAUAGUAUUAUGUAUGGUUUGCAAUAAUGACUGAUUUGUGGAGUGACUUGGACCUAUGUGCCCAUGGCUCUGACAACUGAGUGAAUGAGAAGUACUAAGGAGGAUUGCCUUCUCGCUGAACUCCAUGUAGCUCAUAUGUUUUAUGUUUGAGACAGCAUCAGUAAAAGUCUGACAUUGUGGAAAGA